GCCAGUGCAGAAUAUAUCGAGCACAAACCCGACCACCGGAUUGGAAUCUGGUCGACUUAUCAUGUCAGCAACGACAUUUCUGACAUGUUUUGAAUGACUAUUGAUGAACUCAUAGAAAGAAGUCAUGGGAGCUUUGGGGUCAAGCUUUGGUAAGGUUUCAUCUUGUGGGAGUUCAAUGAAGACUAUUCGUUCUAUAGCCUUAUUAUGUAACGAUUUGAUGUAGGUUGUGAGAGCAAAAGCAGAAUAAGGAGGGUUUAUUAGAAGAACGGUUAUGGAGAGCCUUUCAUCAUGAUUCACGAAUACUUUUGCCAUCUCAAUGGUGGACAUUAUGUGACCAACCCCUGGAACAGGGAUGAAGACGAGUUGUGCUACUG
rnacentral:lncRNA from 1 species